GCAGGGGUCCAAUGGGGUGGAUCCACCCCUCUUAGUCUUGUCCUGUGGUGGUGCUGAGCCAUGUCUCCCCCAUCUUGUUUGGGCAUCAGAGGCAGUCUAUGGACUUGUCAAGGACUCAGGAGCAAAGAGAACUCUGCCCAAGGCGAUGGUCAUGCCCUUGCUCCAACACUUUGCUGAGGGCCUGGUCUGUUCACCACAGCCUGGCAUCCUGCUCAAUAUGCUUGGGCCAGUUUGUGAUUUUUCAGGAGGACUGGAAAAGUGCUAACGCUUUAGGAGGUGGCAGUGACAGAAAGCUGGAAGACUUCUCUGAAGAACAGGAUGAGAGGGGAAUGUGGGGGCUGUGUGCCAGGUGUCUGCCGUCACUGCCAGCCCCUUGGUCUGGAGACACAGGACCAAUACUUGGAGAUGAACAUCAAAGGAUCAUCUGAGUCCUAAUCCAGCCUGCAACCUGACUUCAACUUCCUCAGUGACAGGAGCAAAAGAGAGAGACGCCCAGGACUUGUAGGAGCUGCAGGAGGACCCUCUCCCUUCUGCAUGAGGAGAGGCAUGAGGGUGUGAAAUCUGACCAGCUAGAGUGAUUUUGUAACCACCAGAUAAGAAACUGCAGCUGCUGAGGGGCCACUCUGAGCAGUCCAGGAAUGAAGUCAACACCACAAAAGGCAGACG